GGUGGCUCAGUGGUAGAGCUCUUGCCUUGCAUGCAUGAGGCCCUGGGUUCAAUUCUCAGCACCA
rnacentral:tRNA from 1 species